rnacentral:rRNA from 1 species
AGUGAACGCUGGCGGUAGGCCUAACACAUGCAAGUCGAACGGCAGCACAGUAAGAGCUUGCUCUUACGGGUGGCGAGUGGCGGACGGGUGAGGAAUACAUCGGAAUCUACUUUUUCGUGGGGGAGAACGUAGGGAAAAUUACGCUAAUACCGCAUACGACCUACGGGUGAAAGCAGGGGAUCUUCGGACCUUGCGCGAUUGAAUGAGCCGAUGUCGGAUUAGCUAGUUGGCGGGGUAAAGGCCCACCAAGGCGACGAUCCGUAGCUGGUCUGAGAGGAUGGUCAGCCACACUGGAACUGAGACACGGUCCAGACUCCUACGGGAGGCAGCAGUGGGGAAUAUUGGACAAUGGGCGCAAGCCUGAUCCAGCCAUACCGCGUGGGUGAAGAAGGCCUUCGGGUUGUAAAGCCCUUUUGUUGGGAAAGAAAAGCAGCAGGUUAAUACCCCGCUGUUCUGACGGUACCCAAAGAAUAAGCACCGGCUAACUUCGUG